AGAAAAUUAUUUAUCAAGUAAAAGUCUUCAAGAUCGAUAGGUUUCCUAAGUUCAAGAAGUUCUUGAGUUAGAAAGUUUUGAACGUGUAAAACUAUUUUCUUGAUUCAUUCUUGAGUUGUUAGUUACGAUUCUUUGUACAAGAAGUGGGUUUGGCUUCUUGUAGAGUUGAGUUUUAGUGAGGUUUGUAACAAAAGGUGGGUUUGGCCUUUUGGAGAGUAGAAGUAGUCUAUUAUAGUUAAUCGAGAGUUGUUGUAGUGGUGAGGUUUUUGAUUAUUGAGUUGUAAUCAUAAAAUCAUCUAGUUUAAUUAAUAAAACGAGGUUUUUCCUUCCUUGAUUGGGGAAGGUUUUUAACUUAACAAGUGUUUGUGUUCUGACUUAAAACCAACUUACAAGAACCUGGUUCUUGUUGUAAGGGAUAGGUUUCAAAGAAAAAUGAAACAGAUCACACAAUUCGAAAGACAUCCUGAAACAUAUAUUCUACAGCAGCUAAAGACACUAGAAACCACACCAAUCUUAUCAGUUCAACGAGCAUAAUCUCGCAUCAACAAAAGCAAUGUUACUACAACAUAGUGGAAAGAGAAUCAUGUCAAGAGGAAAUAAAUCAUACAAAAAAAACCUAGAGAUGGGCAUCUCGAUAUGAACUUGCAUCACAAAGAUGGAGACAGACACACAACAAAAUAGGAAAUUCAACAAUUUUCACAGCAAACAACUCUAUGAUAAUAGGCUUGGACCAAGUUUAGAUUAUUUCUUCACAGCCUUUGCCUUUGAAAAAUGUGUAGAAAGAAGCAAAAUUUAAUACACUUCAAUAUAUAUACUUAUAAAAUUA